rnacentral:rRNA from 1 species
UGAACGCUGGCGGCGUGCCUCAUACAUGCAAGUCGAGCGAACAGACGAGGAGCUUGCUCCUCUGACGUUAGCGGCGGACGGGUGAGUAACACGUGGAUAACCUACCUAUAAGACUGGGAUAACUUCGGGAAACCGGAGCUAAUACCGGAUAAUAUAUUGAACCGCAUGGUUCAAUAGUGAAAGACGGUUUUGCUGUCACUUAUAGAUGGAUCCGCGCCGCAUUAGCUAGUUGGUAAGGUAACGGCUUACCAAGGCAACGAUGCGUAGCCGACCUGGGAGGGUGAUCGGCCACACUGGAACUGAGACACGGUCCAGACUCCUACGGGAGGCAGCAGUAGGGAAUCUUCCGCAAUGGCGAAAGCCUGACGGAGCAACGCCGCGUGAGUGAUGAAGGUCUUCGGAUCGUAAAACUCUGUUAUUAGGGAAGAACAAAUGUGUAAGUAACUAGGCACGUCUUGACGGUACCUAAUCAGAAAGCCACGGCUAACUACG